GCCCUCGUAGCUCAGUGGAUUAGAGCGUUGGUUUCCGGUACCAAAGGCCACAGGUUCAAGUCCUGUCGAGGGCGCCA
rnacentral:tRNA from 1 species